GAUGAACGCUGGCGGCGUGCUUAACACAUGCAAGUCGAACGGAAAGGCCCAAGCUUGCUUGGGUACUCGAGUGGCGAACGGGUGAGUAACACGUGGGUGAUCUGCCCUGCACUUCGGGAUAAGCCUGGGAAACUGGGUCUAAUACCGGAUAGGACGAUGGUUUGGAUGCCAUUGUGGAAAGUUUUUUCGGUGUGGGAUGAGCUCGCGGCCUAUCAGCUUGUUGGUGGGGUAAUGGCCUACCAAGGCGUCGACGGGUAGCCGGCCUGAGAGGGUGUACGGCCACACUGGGACUGGGAUACGGCCCAGACUCCUACGGGAGGCAGCAGUGGGGAAUAUUGCACAAUGGGCGCAAGCCUGAUGCAGCGACGCCGCGUGGGGGAUGACGGCCUUCGGGUUGUAAACUCCUUUCGCUAGGGACGAAGCGUUUUUGUGACGGUACCUGGAGAAGAAGCACCGGCUAACUACGUG
rnacentral:rRNA from 1 species